rnacentral:rRNA from 1 species
CUCGAGGCCAGAUCUUUCCGGUUGAUCCCGCCGGACCUGACUGCUAUCGGAUUGAUACUAAGCCAUGCGAGUCAUUGUAGCAAUACAAGGCAGACGGCUCAGUAACACGUAGUCAACCUACCCUAUGGACGGGGAUAAUCUCGGGAAACUGAGAAUAAUACCCGACAGAUCAUUGUGCCUGGAAUGGCUAAUGGUUGAAAUGAUUUAUCGCCGUAGGAUGGGACUGCGGCCUAUCAGUUUGUUGGCGGGGUAAUGGCCCACCAAGACUAUUACAGGUACGGGCUCUGAGAGGAGAGGCCCGGAGAUGGGUACUGAGACACGGACCCAGGCCCUAUGGGGCGCAGCAGGCGAGAAACCUUUGCAAUGUGCGAAAGCACGACAAGGUUAAUCCGAGUGUUUUCUGCUAAAGAAAUCUUUUGUCAGUCCUAAAAACACUGAUGAAUAAGGGGUGGGCAAGUUCUGGUGUCAGCCGCCGCGGUAAAACCAGCACCUCAAGUGGUCAGGAGGUUUAUUGGGCCUAAAGCAUCCGUAGCCGGCUAUGCAAGUUUUCGGUUAAA